rnacentral:lncRNA from 1 species
AUAACUUUAAGAACUAGAAGUUCUAGGUUCUAGAUACACUUGUAACUUUACUCGAACAAAUAAAAAAUUCAGGCUUUAUGUUAAAUUCGACAAGUUUUCGAAAGAUAUACUUCCCCUGACACAACUAAAUAAUCCACUGACUCCUAUCCCAAUAUCUUAGGACUCACCGGACACGUUAUUGAAUAUUGUAAUUGGAUAUUUAACAAGUUCAAAUGAAACAAAAGCAUAAACUUUCACAAACAACAACAAACCAAAAGAUACACUUUUCAAGCAUGUCUAGAAGCUCAAGUUUACUACAUAACUUCCAUACUUUCAUUCUCUCAACACGACUUGCCUAUAUUUUUCUCAAUCAGUGACACUGCUUGUCUCUAUGUUCAGCAACAACAACAUUUUAGUGAAAUCCCACAAUUCUAAGUAGAGUGCACACAGACCUUGCCUCUACCUCGUGGAGGUAGAAAGGUUAUUUUGAGUUACCCUCUUCUUAGGCACGUCAAUUGUCUAUGGUUAAUCAUAAACUCUAUUCCUGGCCUAGCCAAAGGAUCACCCACCCUAUUCAAUAAACUAACACCAGUUCAUCGUAACUUUUCCAAUAAGAAAAACUCAAACUUGUAGCUCAAUAUCCAAGUGUCGUAUAAUACUAUUACCAAAAUUAACACGUUUCACAUCCUAAUCAAAUUUUACACAAUGCACUAUCCAUAUUACGAAGAGACUCAAGUAGUAAUUUGUGAAUGUUUGUGUCGCAUGAUAAAAUGCGUAAUGGGAAGAUCUUAAAAACUAAUGACAUAAACCCCAUCAAAAUUGCAGAUUUCAUAAAACCCAUCAAAAUUUCAUUCUUAA